rnacentral:rRNA from 1 species
CCACUUCGGUGGGGAUUAGUGGCGAACGGGUGAGUAACACGUGGGCAAUCUGCCCUGCACUCUGGGACAAGCCCUGGAAACGGGGUCUAAUACCGGAUACGACCAUCUUGGGCAUCCUUGGUGGUGGAAAGCUCCGGCGGUGCAGGAUGAGCCCGCGGCCUAUCAGCUUGUUGGUGAGGUAACGGCUCACCAAGGCGACGACGGGUAGCCGGCCUGAGAGGGCGACCGGCCACACUGGGACUGAGACACGGCCCAGACUCCUACGGGAGGCAGCAGUGGGGAAUAUUGCACAAUGGGCGAAAGCCUGAUGCAGCGACGCCGCGUGAGGGAUGACGGCCUUCGGGUUGUAAACCUCUUUCAGCAGGGAAGAAGCGAGAGUGACGGUACCUGCAGAAGAAGCGCCGGCUAACUACGUGCCAGCAGCCGCGGUAAUACGUAGGGCGCAAGCGUUGUCCGGAAUUAUUGGGCGUAAAGAGCUCGUAGGCGGCUUGUCGCGUCGGUUGUGAAAGCCCGGGGCUUAACCCCGGUCUUCAGUCGAUACGGGCAGGCUAGAGUCGUAGGGAAUCGAAUUCUG